UUCCUUUUAGAAAAAUUGGGACAGGGAAUACAUUGUGUGUCUGUGAAAAAGUUUCCUUUGUUCUUUUGGGCAUUUUCUAUUUUGAGUAAUGGAGUAGGAGUACGGAAAGGCUGCAGUUAGUUCACUCGAUUAAAAGACACUGCCUCUGAGUCAGAGCUGCCAGGUCGGCAGCUUCACUCCCGAGGGUGCCGCGAGCCCAGGCGGCGAACACCCGGUACCCCUGGCGCAGCGAGGUGGGAUGCUGUACGGACAGCAGCGCUAAGUGCCCCCCCACCCCCGGCGCAGGGUGCACUCGCUCCUGGCCGCGGGCCCAGCGGCGGCGGCGGCGGCGGCGGCGGAGGGGAUGAGCCCGGGACGCGCGAGGCGCCUGCCUCAAGCUACCGCCCGGAGAGGGACGCCGAGUAGGGCUCAUCGCAGUACCGCGCGGACCCCUGCCCCCUGUGGCACGCGGCUGCGGAGCCUUGAAGCCGUGUCUGUGAUCAGGAUGCACUGGGCGCCUCGCAGCUGGUGAGGAUGCCCUGCUGCGCGGCCCUGCGCCCCCAGCCCCAGUCCCAGGUGGGCAAGACUGACUGGGCCCGGCUUCGGCCCCUCGUGCCGGUGGAUGAAACGU
rnacentral:lncRNA from 1 species